rnacentral:rRNA from 1 species
CCUACGGGGCGCUGCAGUGAGGAAUAUUGGUCAAUGGACGAGAGUCUGAACCAGCCAAGUAGCGUGAAGGAUGCCUGCCCUAUGGGUUGUAAACUUCUUUUAUAUGGGAAUAAAAUGUUCCACGUGUGGGAUUUUGUAUGUACCAUAUGAAUAAGGAUCGGCUAACUCCGUGCCAGCAGCCGCGGUAAUACGGAGGAUCCGAGCGUUAUCCGGAUUUAUUGGGUUUAAAGGGAGCGUAGGUGGAUUGUUAAGUCAGUUGUGAAAGUUUGCGGCUCAACCGUAAAAUUGCAGUUGAAACUGGCAGUCUUGAGUACAGUAGAGGUGGGCGGAAUUCGUGGUGUAGCGGUGAAAUGCUUAGAUAUCACGAAGAACUCCGAUUGCGAAGGCAGUUCACUGGACUGCAACUGACACUGAGGCUCGAAAGUGUGGGUAUCAAACAGGAUUAGAUACCCUUGUAGUC